rnacentral:lncRNA from 1 species
UUAGUCUUGUGAUGGUUGCGAGUCGUGAAAGGUAUGGUCUUUUGGUGUAGGUAAUCAAGACUAAAAUCAGAAUGGAAGGACUAUGCUUUACUGUAGCCUGCCCGCCAACAAAGCUUUACGAGGGAGUGGAAUGGAGUUAUUGGAAGCAAGCAUCACUCAUAGUUGAAAGAAGGGAGGAAGCAUUUAAACACUUUGUUGUUAGCUUGCUAAAUUUCUAACAGCUAACCUUACAUCAUAUGCUAGGAGUUUUUUUGUUAAGCUUCAAAUGUUGCAGGUUAUUUUGGAAGCAGGCAAAAGUGUUAAGAGACCAAGGAUGUAAAAGGACAUCAGAGAUAGAGUCUCACUUAGUCAUUAUGUUUGUAUCUUUUAAGUUUUGUGUUCAGCUGGUUUUUUGUAGAACCAAUUCUGUUAUGGGUAGGGACUGUUUUCUGAAAGAUAAGGUUCUUUGUGUAAGAGUGUUGUUAUGGGUAGGGGCGGCUAUAAAGCUUAUGCUCUUG